GUGCUUGGAGGGGCUGAGUUUCGGGCUGUGCGGAGGCGGGACUAGACUGGAUUGCACUGGACUGCACUGCCUAUGGCGCCAGGGGGCGCGCGCAGGGCGGGGAGUGCUCCGCUGGUGAUUGGUUGGGCCGUCAGACUGCGCUGAGGAGAGCUGUGCCUCGAGAGCGUUGUUACUUUUAAGGCAGUGGCGUGGUUUUGUUUGUCUUGUUUUUAUUUAAGAGAAGCUCUCAAAGUAGCGGUGACUUUCCGCCACAGAAUCACAGAAUGAUUAAGGUUGGAAAAGCCCUCUGUGUGGGAUCUGUUGAGUCAGGGCCUGAAGCACUGAUUGAUCACCUGAGGUGAGCACUGAGUCAGCCAUGGAGCACAGGUGAAGGCGAUUCAGCUGUGUGAUGGAAGGGCUGGAGCCUGGCUGCACCUCUCCUAGACCCAUUUAAGGGCUGACUGCCCUAGAGAUUGCUCCCUUUGGAGUUUUCCUAUGAGCCUGGGACAGAGGUUGUCCCUAUCAGAUACAAAUACAUUUUUCAGCCCAGUGAUGAACUGUCUUAAAGAAAAAAUCAAGCUGAGAAUACUUGCUCAAGAAAAGAAACCAGCUUAUGAAAUGCAGAUUUGAGGCUGAAAGUUCACUCCUGAAUCAUUCCAGCAUUGCAGUUUCCAAUACUGAGCCUGAACCUGGGUUCCAGUGGAUACUGACGUGGUGGUCUGAGACUCAGGGCAGUGAGUGAACACAAAUCUUUGUGUAACUUUGGCCCUGAUAAUCAGGCUUAUGAUUAAUCUUGGGUUAGUAGAAUCUUAAAUGCUCAGGAAAGUUACGAGCAAUAGCGUAGCUACAACAAUUGGAUUGUUCCUUAGCUGUGCAAAGUGUUCUUUGUGUUCUUGGAACUGUAAAGUGUAGAAAAGGAGUUUCAGAGAACAUUCCCUUUGCAAGAGUUUUCUUCAGCUAAUAUGAAAGCUAUGAACUUGUAUUUCUAGGUUUUAUGGUACAGAGCAGUCUGGGAGUAUGAAAGAAAGGACUGCAAUGAGAUUUAGCUGUUCUUUGCUUUCAGUAAGUACUUUCAAAAGUACUGUGUAUGUUUAUGAAUGGGAGAUGGUAUAGAGACAGUUUCUCUGUUGCUGCCUUUGCAGUACUGCUUCCUCUUAACCCAGGAGCAAAAGGAACAGAUUUUCCCCAGAUUGUUCCUUAGAAUGAAUGCUUCAAGCCAGGGUUUCUUUGACUCUGGAAAAAGCAUGCUCAUGGUGGUGCUGAAAGUUUAAGAGAUCUUAUUAGUAAAUAAACAAAGGCAAAUGGUAAAUCUAAACCGAAAUAUUUACCAGAAAAUCUUAAUAGUGCUCAGGGGAAAAAUAGUAAUGCUGAAUUUAUUGUCCUCUUUUGUGUGGUCCUAAGGAAAAAAAAGUUUCUUCUUUACUAGGUGCUGUGGAGGCCAAAUUCCCUGACUAACUCCCUGUGCAUAUGCAGUAUGAAUUGCAAAUGCAGUGUUUAAUUGUGCACUAUGUCAAAGUAUUUUUCAUACAUAGGUAUUUCACUGUGCAUGAACAUUUUUCUUUGUGGAUUUAGAGAAAAAUGUAGUAAAAAGGGGUUAUGUGCCCAUUCUUGCUGCAUUUAUUUUCUCAUAGAGACAGGGCUGCAAAACAGAGUUCAGCAUCUUGGAUGCUAAUUUAGAGACUAAAGCAAUAUUAUUGUCUGCUAAGUUAUUUCUGUGAAAGACUGACAAAUCAUAUGACAGAUUUCACAGGUAGUCAUUAAUUGUGUUCAAGGUGUCUCUUUUUGUUUUUUCCUCUUUGCAUACUUAAUUUCUUAUGUUGGAGUCUGACCUCUUGUAACUGAGAUCAGUAAGAGCUGUGCUUUGGAGGUUAGGUGUUCUGAAAUGUCACAUCUGAAACUGGAUGCAUCAUAUCAUCAAGUAUUGCUGGUUACAGCAACUUAAUUCCUUGGCUUCUAUCUGUAAAAUGAAGCAAAAACCAGCCAUUCUGCAAGUGAGGUAGAAUGAUGGCAAUGAAUUGCCAUUAUAAAGCAUUUCUAUGGGAAAGCGUGUGGGAGUGUAAAUAAUGUAGUAUUCUGGGCAGUGUUUAAUUAUUAUUUGAUGAAAAAGGCCUAAAGCCACUCACUGAUUGGAGAAUGAAGGUAAAAUUUUGAAAAACUUCUGAAAAAUUUGGCUUUGCCUUUUGUAAGUACACAGUGAGAUAAGGAUCUUGCAAAAUUAGUGAAGUCAUUAAAGAGAUUAUCUCAAAUUAACUUCACAAGUUCAGGCAGAGGUCCAUGCACAGCAAACUAGGAGAGGCUUCUCCACUCCAUCUCCACUGUUUUCGCCAUCAUGGCAGCAUGUAUUUUCCAUGAGAGAACUAGUGCGUGUCAAAACUGUGGUGCUGGAAAGCAUGGGUACCAAGUAGUCAAUAUAGUGCAGAACUAAUGAAGUCUUGACAUCAUAGGCUGUGAUUUUUGACAUAAACGUUUCUACCUCCAGUAGAUGUCAUUUUCCUGUAUCACAUUAAGGUAGUGACCUCCCGAACAUGCUGCAGAGGAGAUGAGUCAGUGUUUACAUAACUUUAGCAACCAGUUUCUGUGCAUUACAGGAGAGUUUUGCUGAUAUGGAACAGCUGACAUGACCUUCAUUUAGUCCAUUUCCUCUCAUCUUCCUUAAAGUAUUCAUUAGAUUCUGUCUGAUCCAAUUUAAAAGUUACAACUCUCCUGUUCCUUUGUUACCUUCUCAACUUAACUAAUUAUUUUGCUUUGCUCAGCAGUAACCAUUACUUUGAUUAGACCAUUCUCUUUUCCUUUUUCAUUGUCUAGAAAUAUGUCUUGCUCUCAUUAAAACCUUUAGUAGAUUCUUUGGCAUGUAAUCAUUAAUAUAAAAGCAUCAGGGAAAGGUUUGGCAAAGAUGAAGGGAAAUUUUCAGUGAAGAGAUGCUGAGAGUCAAAAGAAGCAAAUAGGGUGGGAGACAAUGAAAGAUCUAGAAACUAAGCUGUCUGAGGAAGGUAAGUAGUGAUAAUGGAAAUUACUGCCCUGUAGCAGUGAUAUAGCAGCACAUUCUGUUAAGUUCAGAAACGGGGAACUUAAAAUUUAUUGACAAGAAAUUGUCACCAAUUGAUGUCAUAAUUGAAUUAAGGUAUUUCUGAAGGACUGUAUUGAAACCCAAAACUUCAGAAGAUACUAAAAUUAUGAAUGUUGCUAAUGCAGUAACUAACAAUGGUAGGAGAGGUACUUGGCAAGUUUAUCAGCCAAGCUUUUAUCCAAUUGGCACUUCAAAGAUGUUGGUGAGAGUAAAUGAGAGAAGGAGAGAGCACAAGAGAUUAAUCUAUUUAAUUCUUUCUAGAUAUGCAUUUGAAACUGGCUGCAGAUGUGAUCACCUCCAGGUACCUUCUAUACUGCCAUGAAUUUGUAAUUAAAACUAUUGGAUUAAAAAUGUGCUCAUGUUGAGUAGUUUUGUUACUGACACUAAUGACUAAAAGCAAGAAGACAUGCAGAUAAAACACCAUCAUUGUUGACUAUUGAAUACUGCAGAAUGCAAAUCCCUUCCUCCCCCUUAUUCCCUACAAUGCAAACACAUACAUGUAUGUAAUAUUAAUUCUAGCCAAAUCAACCUCUUUGGAGAUAUGAGACACCACUGUGUGAUGUAGCUGCAGUUCUGAUUGCGUUAACAUAGUUUGUUGUUCUUCCGCCAGCCUUCCUCCAUUAAAAAGGAUAUCACUUCCUACAGAUAAUCCUACUGGAAAUUGAUGUGUUGCUGUGGUAGGUGUGAUCCCUUAUACUUAGUACAGUUUUAAAGAAAAACACUUGGAAGCACUGUACAGGAAAGGUUCAAAUCUGGAAAGGUUCAAAUAGAUGGAAAUGAUACAUAAAUGUAAAUUUCUUGCUGGACAAUUCUGCAUAAGCUCUGCGACUUUCUUGAGUUAAAUAAGUGCUGUGAAGAGAUAAAGAAAUGCUUCUUUAUGAGCAUUAUUCUAUAACAAAUGCUAGUUAAUAACUUUUCUCUCCACAGUCAACUGAAGUAACCUCAUCUGAUCAUUUUGUUUAAGUAGACACAACUUUGCUCAAAUUUUUGAAAACCUCAAGGCUCUUUUUGAACAUGAAGAUACAUACACAUAUAAAGAUUUUUGAAUAGGCUUUCAUCUGCUCUCACACACAGGGCUUCUGUACCCAUGGUCCUUCUCUAUCCUACAUGUAAGUAUUCUCUAACCUAAACUGUGAAGAGUUCUUAGAGCAGAAGUGAAUACCCUUACAGCAGCUCCAUUGUACCCGACUGAAGGUUGAAAUUAUGUAAUUGCCUCCUGUUACAAAUUAAUGAUUCAAGAAGGCACUUAUACCUGCAUUAUUUGCAGAAUGAAUCUUUGAAACUAUAUACUACAGAUAGCUGGUUAAAUUAAAAAAAGAAAAAAAGCCUGUGUUAUCCAAGAGAAGGACUGUAAGGACCAUGAAGUUGUAGGCUUUGAGUUGUGUUUAUUUGCUACUUUUCAAACUGGAUAAUUUCACAGUCUUAGCAUUGCACACUUUGUCUUUCCUUGGAAAAAAUAAAUAUAAUGUUUCACAGCUAUUGCUUACGUCUUGGGACAAAUUUCCAGGAAUUUAAUCUCCAGAGUAAAUGUAAAUACUGCCUUUGAGAGGCACUGCUGCAGGUUCUUUCCAUUCCUAGAAAAUACACGUUAAAUUACACUUUAUGUUCACACCAAUGGCAAAAUGCUAUUGAAAAAAAUGAAUUUUUUUUUUUUUGCAAUUGAAAUAAAAUGGGGCUGACACAAAGAAAAUGUUUAUUCCUUGGCAAAUGUUUGGGACUUUGCUAUGUUCAGUUGUUGUCAGCAUAAGAUGAUGCAGUCUUUGGUUAGUAGUUCGAAUGUGUAUUGUAAAUUACUUGCAAGGAAAGAUUUUGCAUCUGUCCUUCCAUAUUAUUGCCUUCCAACUAGGAGACAUCCUGUAUAGGCCUCUGUGUAAUAACCUCUACAAAAAGUAUUACACAGUCCAGCAAAUGCUGUGUACAUGUUGCAUUUUAGAGUAUGAUUAAUGCUCUAGCCAUGCAGAAGAAUCCUUCGUGAGCAUGGCAAGAACAAAAGUAUCUAGACAUAUGGUUUGGAGUUAGCAGAACUCUGUGACAGUCUUGCAAUUGCGUGUCCGAAGGCUUUGACCUUAGAGGAGUCUGCAUCUGAACUACAUUGCAAGGAAAACUGUGUUCAAGGUUCUGGAAUGUAGUUUGAAACAUGCAAAUGAGGAGAUCUAUUGCAUGUGAGCUGUUUAGGUGGUCCAGAGUAAUGAAGAGCUCUGUCAAAUGGAAGCAUAAAUAUUAUAAUGAAAAUGUUUAGUGCAGGGUCAUUGGAUUAUAAACAAAAUAGUGGAGAGAUACUGAAUUAAGUUUUCAACGUUAAGUAACCAGGCACUGUGAAGCUACAACAGAUUAGAACGGCACAUAAAUUACCCUAUCAGGCCACAUAAUGUGUUUCUUCAAGUAAGCUUCCUUAUGUAGUGUUCAGUCAUUAGAAUAAUUUUACAAUUUGCUAUUCAAACCCUUACAUUUAUGACAGCCAGUGGGAAUUUCCAACCAUGGCAAAGCUCACAUUAGUGCUGUAUUAUUUAUUUGCAUUUAUAGCAAGCCUAUAGCAAGAGUGUUGUUUAACUAAUCCCCAAUUAAGCGCAUAUCAUUAACUGAGUACUGCAUCAUCAAGGAAAUGCUGUCAUGGAAAUCACAGAAUCAUAGAGUUGCUCAGGUUGAAAAAGGCCUUGAAGAUCAUCAAGUCCAACCACAACCUAACCAUACUACCCUACCUCUAACAACCCUCGGCUCAGUCAUGUCCCUGAGCACCACAUCCAAAUGGUUUUUAGUCACAUCCAGGGAUGGUGACUCAACCACCUCCCCGUGGAGCCUAUUCCAGUGCUUAACCACCUUUUCUAUAAAGUUGUUUUUCCUGGUGUUUGUUCUCAACCUCCCCUGGCACAACAUGAGGCCAUUUCCCAAAUCAGUCUCAUAUCGCAGCAGACUAGGGCCAGAAGGCCUGAGUUUGCCUGAGCACUGAAAAGGCCUUUUCCUGCUUCCUGGAAGCCAGUUUUAAAACUCUGAUGAACUUUGAAAGGAAGGCAGAGGGAGUUCCAGGGAAUCCAAAUGUGGUGUGCAUCUUUGCUGUAAGUUGCACUCUGGCUUCUACUGACUCUGACCUUCUCCUGAGGCCUACCAGCAGCUUCUUGGCUUUGACUUACUCUACUUUUCCUCCUUGUUUACAAGCUUUUGGGGUCAGAUCUUAUGGUACAGAGUCUGCCAAGCAUAUGUCGAUGGAACAAACUUGAACAGAGCAUGUCUUUACUCAUAAAGUGUGUGGCAGGAUCUGUUCUUUCUUUGAUUUUCUAACUUUGACAUCUGUGAGUCUGUGUGAGGUCAUGCAGAGAGAAGCACCGAGGUUGGUUGUAUCUCAAGAAGAAAAUGGAGUAUUCUCUUUCCUAAGGAUUUUCACUUCUAGGCAAAAUGGCUCAUCCCUUUUACAUCUUUGACAGCAUUGAGCUUUCUUGGAUUCCCUGACUUGCCGUAUUAUUUUUAAGAAAGAAUGGUCUAAUACUGUGUUGUCUUUGUUAUAUUACUCCUAGAGAUGAGCCUGCACACAUCAGAGGUAUCUAUCUAGUACUGAGAUAGUGUAAAUAGACCUGAGUGGAGAAAGCUGGGCAGAACUUUAUUUCCUUUGAAAUAAGAAUACUUCAAGAAAUUAUGUUCAUUUCUUUUACUUUAAAUUUACAAGAUUUUUUAGGGAGAAGGUUGAAAUGUUCUAUUUUUAUCACUUUAAAAUUAGAUUUUUUUUAGCUCAUAUCAGUGCAGUAAGUUAAAUCAUUGUAUUACAGUGUGUGUGUAUAUAUAUAUCAGUGGAGAGUGUUUUUUUUUUUUUUU